rnacentral:lncRNA from 1 species
CUCUAAUUUCGGGCUUUGGAAUCGAAUAUAAAAUGUUCAGUGGCCCCCUUUAAUGAUUUUUUUUUUGAUCCGCCAGUGGUGCAUGUAUUGUGUAAAGCUGCUUAAAAAGUAAUGGACUAGCGUAAAAAGUUUCAUCGGCGAUUAUAGGGCUUGGCUUAGGUGUCGAAGGUUGUCUGAAGUACCAAAAACCAGGAUUUUGGCGGGCUGCCUAGGUAGUUCAGUAUUGUGCAAUAAUGAAAUUUUGGAUUGAAUGGCUUUAUAUACUAUAACAUGGGCUUAACUUUGAAGCACAUACAAUUUUAAAAAGUAAUAAAGACAGUCAUAAUUACUUUCAUAAAAUUUUAAUAUGAAAAUAUUACUGAUUGUUGGGUUUCUUC